UGACGAGGUUCAGUGCUGAACUCCACUCCUCCAGCCCCAGCCAUGAAGGGGACGGGAAUUGCCCUGCUGCUCAUUCUGGCUCUGUCCUGCGUCUUUGAAGCCAGCGGUGCAUUGCCCAACCUCCAGGCCAAUGCAGAAGACCUUGAGGAACUGGACAGUGGAUAUAAAGACGCUGUCAAUACCGCCGUCAAGGGCAUUGUCAAGGGGUUUGAAGACAGCAAUAUAGUGGGGAAACAAUGAGGCUGGCGGCUGGCGACCCGGCAGGGCCUGACUGCAGGCAUCCUCCCUGUAGCUCAAGCAGACGGACGAGGCGGAGACCUUGGAUGGUAGAGCAGUCGCUUGCCUUGCAAUAAAAUAAGCACAGGAAUACA